CUUGCCCAAUCCCCUCGUGUCGCACCAGCUGAACCCUAGCCCCUUUCCCCGAUCCCCACAGCAGCCGCACCCUCUCCUCGCUCACAGCCGCCUCCUCUCCUCUCCCCCACGUCGCCGGCCUUGUCUCUCCCCCACGCCGCGGCCUUGUCUCUUGGCUCGUCUCCUCCUCUCUUCCAUGCCUCCUUGGUUCCAGAUUGGGAUCUGGUCGCCGUCGUGCGAGAGCAGGGCAACAGGGUCUUCGCGGAGGAGUGGAGGGGGAGGAUGCGGACGACAGGGCGAAGGAGGUGGCUGGCAAGGAGGACAAGCAGCAGGGGGGGAGAAGGGUGACGCCUCGCACACCGUCUCCUCCCCGCGGCGGUUGGCCGGUCGACUCGUCGCGCCACCGCGUCCUCACCUCCCCUGCGCCAUGAGAGGCGCCGUCUCUGCUUCCACCCCCGCUUCCUGCUUCCUUCCUCCUUGGCACCACAGCUGCCGCUCUACUCCCUCCCUUGUCAGCCACCGGCUCAGGAACCUCCCUCGGUUGGGCCAGGGCAGAAGGCCAUGGCGAAUCUUGCGCCCCUGGAAGAAGCAGCAGGGUUGGUGGAGCGUCGAAUACGGGCGGGGUCAACGGUUGAGGGAGGGUCGCCCACCGAAGCAGCAGGAGAAAGACCUUGAGUGAAGUUGCAUCAUCCAACAUAGCAAGAUGAAGUACUCAGAAAAAAUUGCAGCAAGUGCGAUUGAUAGUCAAGGAAUUGAUUUGAUUCUGAAUCUUCUGUUCUUCAGGCUUACUGGUCUUGGUUCAGUUUGAAGGGCUCUCCGGGCUUAAGAUCGUGGUUUCGUUAGAAUUAGAUAAUUUCUUUGCUUGGUACUCUUGCCGGUGGUGGUAGGCUUUACUUUGUGGUAUAGGUUCUGUUGUCGGUGACACCUCAUGAAUUUUCUGUUAGAUUUAGCAGCCAUACAUACUGAAAUGGGACACCUUUGGACAUUCCCUUGCUAUUUCAACAGUCUAAUUACUCCAUGUAAAAACUGCAUCCAUUUUGGUAUGUGAUACUGCAAGUGUAAAUUUAGAACUGGACCUUACAGUCUAGCUUCAUUGUCUGUCCAUCAUGGUUAUGUGCAUACUGCAUAAAAAUGGAGUAUCCUUAUGCUCAUGUGAGCUUGCUAUUGUGCCUUGCAUGUGCGUUAAAAUGGAGAGUUCUUUACCUAAGAUCCUGGUCUUUGUUCUUUCUUACAUGGGAUCUUGAUCUUAGCCUGCCACCAAUGUCAAUUAUAUUUACUGAAAGACGUUAGGCUUGCUAAUCUAUUUAAUGACAGUAUAGAUCACAUGCCUACUGUCAAUGGCAAAGCGUUGUCGGCAUUAUGAUAAUCUAAAAGACCCCUCUGCAGUUUCUGUUAUUGUUUUAGUUUAAAGUAAGCAGUCAGCAUACAACAACCUUUCUUCAGUAUGAACAUAGAUGAUGUAUUGUUGCAGCUUAGGGUAUCCUAUUGACAUACUUUUGAACUGAACAACUUCCAGAUGUGGCUUCUCAACUACUCCCUCGUUCCUACAUAUUUGUCUUUUUAGAGAUUUCAAAUGGACUACCACAUACGGAUGUAUAUAGACAUAUUUUAGAGUGUAGAUUCACUCAUUUUGCUUCGUAUGUAGUCACUUGUUGAGAUCUCUAGAAAGACAAAUUUUUAGGAACAUAGGGAGUAGGCUACAACGACAUCAACUCUUUGUGCCUAGAUGUCAUGGCCUCGAGCUAAGCAGUAUAAAAAUAGUAGAUAGACAUGUGCUUAUUAUCAUGUAGAGUUGGAGAAAAUGCAAAUAACCAUGCUUGAAUACAAGUCCUUCUGGUAAAUCUGGCCACUGCUGACAUUGGACAUGUCUUGAUGUAUUUAUUUUCUCAGAUUGUGAGGUAGAUAAAGCCUGUUUGUCAUCCCAUUUGUCGUUCAUUUACAUAACAUGUCGGUUUUAUUGUCGGAUUCGUCGGACCAAUGAUUUUGCCAUUCGGAAGCUCAUGCUUACGUUAAGUUGUAUGGCUACAAUUUUCUCUGUAUAUACACAGAUACACUUCCUUCCUGAGAUAAUUAUAAUCAUUUGUUCCUGGUAGUAUCAUUGUACUUGUUCACUUGUUCCUCUGUUUUUUUCUUCUCUUGUUGCUUUAUUGUGUAUUCUGCCCAUGUGCUGCAGUGCUCAUUUUUGUCUUUCCCUAUUGUUUAUUGUCUCAGGAUGACGCUUGAUUUCAGCCUCGAGGAACUAGAUGUAGAACAUUUGCAUUGCAAAACUGCAGGCUUUUCUUUUUAUGGUAUGGCACACUAAUCCUUUCUUCGUUUAUCACGUUUUGUAUCAAUAAUUGCGUCAUUCACUUAACAGUUUUGAUAUAUUCUGGAUUUUAUUUCAAGUUGUCUUAUUGUAUCUGGACACAAACUUGUCCAUGUUUUAAAGAUGUUCAUGUAUUAAUGGUCUGUUUAUCUGGUAAGUUUGAUACACUAUUCUCUCUUGAGAACAAGACGCACAGUUUAUGAAUAUAAAAUUUCAUGCUUCAUAGUGAUCAAUAGUUCGGUUUGUUUUCCAGGGUCCCAAGAGCUUGGCUUAGGUUUCUUCUUUGCAAAUAAAAAUGUUCUCUGCAUAGUGGGUACAUGUACUUUUGAUAGAUGGUGUAUUGUUGCAGCUUAGGGUACCUGGCAUGAAGAACUCGACAUGCUUUUCCAGGAGUUUGUUGAGGAAAUGCCUUUAUUCGUUGGAAAAUGGCGUAUCAUUUACAAGUAUUCCAGGCUACACGCUAGGUAGCUUCUUAGUAACGACUGUUUGCCUCUCCCAUCAACGUCAUUGUCUCUUGCAUAAGAGACCAAGGUGGCUUAUGAGUAACACGUGAGUUGCAAGUUUCUCCUUGCCGUCGGCAGUAGCGAAGAGUAUAGGGGAACCGGCCGCGAUCGCCCAAGGAGCAGAGCCGCACGGGUGCUGGUCCUGCCGUCGCCAGAGCAGAGCGGAGGAAGCCGAUGCAGGGUCAAGGAGGGGCACGAGUGAGGGUCAUUUGGUUGUACUGCAUCUGCCAAAGCACUAUUGAGACAACGAAUUUCAGCUAUAUUAGGAGCUGAACCAUAUUAAGUAUGUGCAUCCUGGGUGGAAUGCUUUCUGUUCAUGAGCUGGCCUCCCAGCAUGUACUGUUGA